rnacentral:ribozyme from 1 species
CCCCUUCCGGCAUGAAACACCAGCCCAAGCCCCCCCCCUCUCUCUUCGGCGUCUACAGUGCCCUAUUCCUAAAAUGUGCUACAUUCCUGAUGUUUUGCUCCCUUACCUUUUAUCGAUUUUGUGUUUGUGUUUGCUGC